rnacentral:rRNA from 1 species
UGUGUUAGUGGAAGCGUCUGGAAAGGCGCGCGAUACAGGGUGACAGCCCCGUACACAAAAAUGCACAUAUUGUGAGCUCGAUGAGUAGGGCGGGACACGUGGUAUCCUGUCUGAAUAUGGGGGGCCCAUCCUCCAAGGCUAAAUACUCCUGACUGACCGAUAGUGAACCAGUACCGUGAGGGAAAGGCGAAAAGAACCCCGGCGAGGGGAGUGAAAAAGAACCUGAAACCGUGUACGUACAAGCAGUGGGAGCACGCUUAGGCGUGUGACUGCGUACCUUUUGUAUAAUGGGUCAGCGACUUAUAUUCUGUAGCAAGGUUAACCGAAUAGGGGAGCCGAAGGGAAACCGAGUCUUAACUGGGCGUUAAGUUGCAGGGUAUAGACCCGAAACCCGGUGAUCUAGCCAUGGGCAGGUUGAAGGUUGGGUAACACUAACUGGAGGACCGAACCGACUAAUGUUGAAAAAUUAGCGGAUGACUUGUGGCUGGGGGUGAAAGGCCAAUCAAACCGGGAGAUAGCUGGUUCUCCCCGAAAGCUAUUUAGGUAGCGCCUCGUGAAUUCAUCUCCGGGGGUAGAGCACUGUUUCGGCAAGGGGGUCAUCCCGACUUACCAACCCGAUGCAAACUGCGAAUACCGGAGAAUGUUAUCACGGGAGACACACGGCGGGUGCUAACGUCCGUCGUGAAGAGGGAAACAACCCAGACCGCCAGCUAAGGUCCCAAAGUCAUGGUUAAGUGGGAAACGAUGUGGGAAGGCCCAGACAGCCAGGAUGUUGGCUUAGAAGCAGCCAUCAUUUAAAGAAAGCGUAAUAGCUCACUGGUCGAGUCGGCCUGCGCGGAAGAUGUAACGGGGCUAAACCAUGCACCGAAGCUGCGGCAGCGACGCUUAUGCGUUGUUGGGUAGGGGAGCGUUCUGUAAGCCUGCGAAGGUGUGCUGUGAGGCAUGCUGGAGGUAUCAGAAGUGCGAAUGCUGACAUAAGUAACGAUAAAGCGGGUGAAAAGCCCGCUCGCCGGAAGACCAAGGGUUCCUGUCCAACGUUAAUCGGGGCAGGGUGAGUCGACCCCUAAGGCGAGGCCGAAAGGCGUAGUCGAUGGGAAACAGGUUAAUAUUCCUGUACUUGGUGUUACUGCGAAGGGGGGACGGAGAAGGCUAUGUUGGCCGGGCGACGGUUGUCCCGGUUUAAGCGUGUAGGCUGGUUUUCCAGGCAAAUCCGGAAAAUCAAGGCUGAGGCGUGAUGACGAGGCACUACGGUGCUGAAGCAACAAAUGCCCUGCUUCCAGGAAAAGCCUCUAAGCAUCAGGUAACAUCAAAUCGUACCCCAAACCGACACAGGUGGUCAGGUAGAGAAUACCAAGGCGCUUGAGAGAACUCGGGUGAAGGAACUAGGCAAAAUGGUGCCGUAACUUCGGGAGAAGGCACGCUGAUAUGUAGGUGAAGUCCCUUGCGGAUGGAGCUGAAAUCAGUCGAAGAUACCAGCUGGCUGCAACUGUUUAUUAAAAACACAGCACUGUGCAAACACGAAAGUGGACGUAUACGGUGUGACGCCUGCCCGGUGCCGGAAGGUUAAUUGAUGGGGUCAGCGCAAGCGAAGCUCUUGAUCGAAGCCCCGGUAAACGGCGGCCGUAACUAUAACGGUCCUAAGGUAGCGAAAUUCCUUGUCGGGUAAGUUCCGACCUGCACGAAUGGCGUAAUGAUGGCCAGGCUGUCUCCACCCGAGACUCAGUGAAAUUGAACUCGCUGUGAAGAUGCAGUGUACCCGCGGCAAGACGGAAAGACCCCGUGAACCUUUACUAUAGCUUGACACUGAACAUUGAGCCUUGAUGUGUAGGAUAGGUGGGAGGCUUUGAAGUGUGGACGCCAGUCUGCAUGGAGCCGGCCUUGAAAUACCACCCUUUAAUGUUUGAUGUUCUAACGUGGACCCGUGAUCCGGGUUGCGGACAGUGUCUGGUGGGUAGUUUGACUGGGGCGGUCUCCUCCUAAAGAGUAACGGAGGAGCACGAAGGUUGGCUAAUCCUGGUCGGACAUCAGGAGGUUAGUGCAAUGGCAUAAGCCAGCUUGACUGCGAGCGUGACGGCGCGAGCAGGUGCGAAAGCAGGUCAUAGUGAUCCGGUGGUUCUGAAUGGAAGGGCCAUCGCUCAACGGAUAAAAGGUACUCCGGGGAUAACAGGCUGAUACCGCCCAAGAGUUCAUAUCGACGGCGGUGUUUGGCACCUCGAUGUCGGCUCAUCACAUCCUGGGGCUGAAGUAGGUCCCAAGGGUAUGGCUGUUCGCCAUUUAAAGUGGUACGCGAGCUGGGUUUAGAACGUCGUGAGACAGUUCGGUCCCUAUCUGCCGUGGGCGCUGGAGAACUGAGGGGGGCUGCUCCUAGUACGAGAGGACCGGAGUGGACGCAUCACUGGUGUUCGGGUUGUCAUGCCAAUGGCACUGCCCGGUAGCUAAAUGCGGAAGAGAUAAGUGCUGAAAGCAUCUAAGCACGAAACUUGCCCCGAGAUGAGUUCUCCCUGACCCUUUAAGGGUCCUGAAGGAACGUUGAAGACGACGACGUUGAUAGGCCGGGUGUGUAAGCGCAGCGAUGCGUUGAGCUAACCGGUACUAAUGAACCGUGAGG